GGGAUCCACUCUGAAUCUAACUGUUUAUGAAUUUGCAACAUCCGAGCCUCGUCUCAUCUCUUCAAAAUCCUCCAGUACUGCUCUGAUCUGCAGGUUUCCUGAUGGCAGCACUGGGGAAGCUGUUGGCCACUUCGGGAGAGCCCAGGUAGACCUGAGGACAAAUGGACUGGGAGCUCCUGAAGAAGACUGAGAGCCUGCUCCUAGAAGAGAUGGGACAGUGGCCCCAAGACCAAGCUUAUGUUUUGAGUCUGCAAGCCCCCUUCAUCUAGCNGGCCCCAAGACCAAGCUUAUGUUUUGAGUCUGCAAGCCCCCUUCAUCUGGCAGAUGANCAUCUAGCAGAUGAAGAAAGAAGAUUGAGACCUGUUCUUUGGUCCCCACCAGGCUGGUGUCUGGGACAAGGCCUGUUAGCUGCAAGCUUGUUCCUGUUUCCUCUUUCAGUGUCUAUGCCUUCCCCCUUUGAAUGUUUAUCCCCUUGAUUCUCCCAUCUCUGCCACCUGAGGGAUGACCCUAUCUGUACU
rnacentral:lncRNA from 1 species